ACCUGUAGUGGAGAGGGGGUGCUCAGUACGGGGCACAAACACUGUAGCAUGAAAAUCUUUGCGAAUGAGCCAAAUCAGCAGAAAAUCUAACUACUGCGUUCUGGCAAGGAUAGUAUUGUACCAGUUAUAGGGGUUUACGAUAUUAUUUUAUCAAUACACGCAAAAUUCGCUUAUGAUAUGAUGCUCGUAAAAACAUUUUACUAAUAAUGCACAGAUACACAAUACACAAUGAAAACCAAGCCCUCAGAACCAUUCCUUGGAACCACUGUACUAACCUACUAACACCACUAUUUAUGGCCAGAUAGAUGCUUAUUAAUAGUUUUGUUGCUAAGGAACCACAAUGUUUGGUAUUCCGUGGUAUAAUACUGAUGAUGCAUAUAUGGUCGUGAAUAUCUACUCUGCACAUGAUCACUGAUCUACACAACCAAAAAUCCACGUAUAUGAUUAGCAUCUGUGAGAGGUGCACUUAUUAUACUGAUGUGUGCACAGAACCGUAUGAAAUCUGUUUUGUAAUACAAGUGGAUCAGAUGUGUGUUAAAGAUGUGUGUGCAAUAUGUACUUCACUCGUGAUUACCAAUGUGAUGUUCUGCUAUGUAUCACAAGUGGAAAGGGUAGAACAACUGGCCAGACAGCUAGAUGCCAGACAGCUAGACCUCAGUCAUCUAUAGAGUGGAAACGCGUGAGUCUAUAACUAUGUAUGCACUGAUGACCAAAAUUAUAUUAUAUAUUUCUAGGCUUGAAAGUCAUCAUUAUUUUGACAACAUUCAGACGAGGGGUUAAUUGAUGAUCCACUACUUCCCUGUUACUUUGUGAUUAUACAUUUAUUUCAAUUAUUAGAUGGCUGCUUUUAUUGUGACCCACUAACUAUGAAUGGCUCGCACUUUCAAAAGUGUUCAGAGUUGCAUAUAGUGUGUUUCAUUUUGGAAAGCAGACAAGUAUGUAAGGGGUUCUUAGACCUGGUAAGGAAUGCAACCCACACAUUAAAAAAAAAAUGGAAGUGCACCCACUGCUCAACCUUGUGGAAGACCUUGCUGUCUCUUCGGUCCCACUGCUACUUUUAAUUAACACUGAAAGGUGUGAAGCCUUUAAGUUAUAUUGAGGGAGAAGAAAGUUUUUCAAAUAGACGAGCCCUAAGUGGUGAUAUUACUGCUUCGUUUUCAUUAGAAGCAUUGAGAUUUGUCUAUUCAAGUGGCUAUUACCAGAGUGAGAUUUUCAACAGUGAGUAUUAUAAUUUAUGCUGUUGGU